GUUCCUCUUUUAAACCUUUGGUUAAUAUGUAUUUGAAAAGCUUUAACAGCUUCAACUUAUUCCAAAUCUUUGUUGUUGAUUGAGAAUGGUUUUGGUUUUGGUUUUUUUUAUUUUGUUUUUCAGAUAAUUAAUUAAUUUCCAAAGAACCUUCGAAAUCACUUUUUUGUUUCAUUUUACUAUUCAAAGGAAAUAAAUGUUCUUAGUUCCA
rnacentral:lncRNA from 1 species